rnacentral:rRNA from 1 species
AAUAAGCUAAAUAAGAGCGUAUGGGGAAUGCCUAGGCUCUCAGAGGCGAUGAAGGACGUGAUAAGCUGCGAAAAGCUGCGGGGAUUGGCACAUACAAAUUGAUCCGUAGAUAUCCGAAUGGGGCAACCCACUAUAUUGAAGAUAUAGUAUGUCGUAAGACAAGCAAACCCAGAGAACUGAAACAUCUAAGUACCUGGAGGAGAAGAAAACAAAAGUGAUUCCGUUAGUAGUGGCGAGCGAACGCGGAUUAGCCCAAACCAGUAUUGUUACGGCAAUAUUGGGGUUGUAGGACCAAGACAUUUAAUGUUUAAUGAAUUAGAAUACUUUGGAAAAAGUAACCAUAGAGGGUGGUAGUCCCGUAUAGGUAAGUUGAAUUAUUAAUAUUGGUAUCCUGAGUAGCGCGGGGCACGUGUAGCCCUGUGUGAAUCUGUCGGGACCAUCCGAUA